UGUUGGUUAUUUACUAAAGAAGGGUCCCAAAACAUAUCAGGUUCUAUCUUCAUCUUAUUCACAAACAUCAAGGUCAAGAGGAUAGUCGAGCAACUCUAAGGCCACAACUAAAUCAUGUAUCAUUCUGUUUAUUUUCGAGAAGAAGUGCCAUUUUGGCUUCUAAUAUGUUCCUUUCAUGUAAAUAGUUUUAACUACGUGACAUUUUAGGCUAUUCUGAAGAAAUCAAUACAAGUAUAUCGAGAGCAAA